rnacentral:sRNA from 1 species
CACCACCACGCCCUGUCCCCUUUCUCCACCCUGCAAGCUAGUUGCAUUUACCUCACAGAGCCUGGGCUGCGACUUGAAAGACUUUAGGCAGCAACAGAGUGACCCUGGGGGUGCUCUUGACCGACAGCCGCACCUCCGGCGUCUAGGACCUCCGAGCAGGGAUGCAUCUGGGGGUCUAGGGAAGCACUUCCACCCCCUCCUCUCCUCAACCCUGGCAGGAUGUGCCCGAAAUGCCAGCUCCUCCUUGGUGUUCUCCUUUCAAGAUUUGAAUUCAAAUCCCAUAUUGGCAGCCCUGAUACCGCUGGGGGAAGGGUGAGUGAGCCAUUCCUCUCCCUUGGAAUUCAUCAGAGUCAUCCCUGUAGAGCCCCCUUCCUGCCUCUCAAUGCCUCCUGCCUCACUUCCCAGGCUACCGCUGCUUCAAGACAGUGACGUUUCUCUCCGGUCAGCUGUCAGGAGCGCUGCUGGGUCUUACUGGGGAUCUGGCCAGCCUUGGGGACCCUUGGGGCCCUGGCCCAGUGGAAGCUUGUGCCUGAGGAACAUGGAGGCCACGCCAAUGAGUUACUUCCAGAGUCUUCAAGAGUGCCAACUGGGACCAGGACCCCAGGCCACAGCCCCCCACACCGUCCUGGACCUGGAUUCUGACUGUGGUUCCACUGUACCCCUCACCUUAAUCUCUGGUUCUAACCAGACCUGAGCCUAGACUUCCACUUUUUCCUUCACCCCUGUGAGGGCCUGGGAACACUAGGUGGGCAGGGUUUGAGCCCACAGGACCUGCACACAAACUUCCCCACCUCUUGGACUUGGGGACAGGAUCUGUGCCUCAACCCAGACCAGCCUUGUAGGGAUAUGUUCCAAGAAUAGAGAAGAGUCUUAUGGGGAAGGGGGAGGAAGGGAAGUAUGAAUAUUUACCUCUGACCAAUAAUAGAGGUGCCCUGGUCCCCAAAGAAACUGACUCCCGAAUUCCCUCCAAGCCUUACCCAUAUAGCUUUUUUUUUUUUUUUUUGAGACAAGGUCUUGUUCUGUCCAGUACCGUGGCGUGAUCACAGCUCAUGACAACUUUGAUUUCCCCGGCCCAAGCGAGCCUUUCAUUCAGCCUCCUGAGUGGCUGGGACCACAGACGCCACACACAGCUAAUUUUUAUUUGUUCGUUUUUAUUUUUUUUGCAGAGACAGGGUCUCCCUGUGUUGCCCAAGCUGGUCUUGAACUCCUGGGCUCAAGUGAUCCUCCUGCUUCAGCCUCCCAAAGUGCUAGGAUUACAGCCACCGCACCUGGUCUUGAAAUAGCCUUUUAAAUAUCUACCUCAGUGCCUCACAGUGGUAAAAAUAAGCGUUUUUUUGUUUUGUAGGAUCAGGGAGCUUCCAAGGCAUUUGAUAGCUUUUUGAUGGGAAGAAGGGCUCUGAGGAGCUCCAAGAUACCCCAACCUCCAGGCCCUUCAUUAGAGGGUAGUUGGGUUUCUGUUUGGCCUUUCCUACUGGGCCCCAUAGGCUUAAACUACCCCGCCACCUCCCCGCACCUCCUACCUCAGCUGGGAGCACUAUCUUCCAUGGUGCUUCCACUUCUCUCCUCAACCUGGGGAAGACCACAGGGCAGUGCCUGCCUCAGGACCUGCCUUCCCCAAAAGCUGGCUUCUUGCUCCAAGGAGAGAGCAUUGGCCCGCCUGCCAGAGUCUUGCCUUUUGCCCAAAAGGAGCCUGGUCUUCAGGGCUGCAUAGGAGACAAGUGCCUUCUCUGCUUCUCACUGUGGGUGGCACUAAUUUCCUCCUUAACCAGAACUUUGUUCCUGCCACUAACCCAUUCUAACUCUUCCCCCUCUGACUCUCCUGCCCAAGGUCUGUUCCUGGUUUCCCAGAUGCAUAAAGGAAGACAUAUCCGUCCCCUGGGCAGCAAGGCUACAAUGGGAGGGAGGGAGGGAGAACAUGGGAGCCUGUGAAUAAAAUGGCAUUAAAUACUGAA